CCUACGGGAGGCUGCAGUGGGGAAUAUUGGACAAUGGGCGCAAGCCUGAUCCAGCCAUGCCGCGUGAGUGAUGAAGGCCUUAGGGUUGUAAAGCUCUUUUGUCCGGGACGCGGUACCGGAAGAAUAAGCCCCGGCUAACUUCGUGCCAGCAGCCGCGGUAAUACGAAGGGGGCUAGCGUUGCUCGGAAUCACUGGGCGUAAAGGGCGCGUAGGCGGCCAUUCAAGUCGGGGGUGAAAGCCUGUGGCUCAACCACAGAAUUGCCUUCGAUACUGUUUGGCUUGAGACCGGAAGAGGUCAGUGGAACUGCGAGUGUAGAGGUGAAAUUCGUAGAUAUUCGCAAGAACACCAGUGGCGAAGGCGGCUGACUGGUCCGGUCUGACGCUGAGGCGCGAAAGCGUGGGGAGCAAACAGGAUUAGAUACCCUUGUAGUC
rnacentral:rRNA from 1 species